rnacentral:ncRNA from 1 species
UCUUAAAAAGUGCAAACCUAUCGUGCGAUAGGAACGCAAAGUCAUGAGUCUUUAUAUGUUAUAAAGAUAGUCGGGUUAAAUAU